rnacentral:lncRNA from 1 species
GUUCCAGCUGGAGGAGCGGGGCAUAAUUGCACAUGCUCAUGUGGAAGCAUGCUCCCAUCUGCCCUGUCUAUGUUGUGCAGGAGGAAGAGUGAGCAGUUCUCUGUGGCCAGAGCAGAAAUAAACACUGUGUAGCACGUACUGUAAUUUGGGUAGUGGGAGCUGGCAAGCUCCAGGUGUCCCGAAAGAGAUCAGACUGGCUGUUCCUGGGUGGCUGAGCCAUCACUGCUCUUCUGCAAACACCUGCUGGCCCCCAGCGAGCAACCUCUGUCACAUCCUCAGCUCGUCCCCUCCAGAGGGCUUGUCAGGCUGUUUAUGUUUCAUCUUCAUACUCCUCCAUGCUAAUUUAGAAAAACUGCAACUCUACACGUGUCUGUGUCUGAACAGCUGGAAAUUGCUGCAGAAAACCCACGUCUGUUCUUCAGUUCAGGACCACAAGCCUAAAGUGGACACUCAAGACUGCUGGGCAAUCCUCAUAUCCUUUCCUUGUUUGUUUCCUUUCCCAUUCCCUGAACUUGCUGUUUUACACUUUUACCUCCCUUCAAAACCCCUCCUCCCAUUUCUCACCCAUCACCUGCCACCUGCUUCGUGGCAGAAGUGAAACCAUCGGGUGGGAAUCCCCUCACCUUCCCCCAUCAGCCACAUGACUGCAUCUGUGCUCCUUCUCUGCC